rnacentral:rRNA from 1 species
AUUGAACGCUGGCGGCAUGCUUUACACAUGCAAGUCGAACGGCAGCGGGGAGGAGCUUGCUUCUCUGCCGGCGAGUGGCGAACGGGUGAGUAAUACAUCGGAACGUGUCGAGAAGAGGGGGAUAACCACCCGAAAGGGUGGCUAAUACCGCAUAAAUUCUGAGGACGAAAGCUGGGGACCUAGGAAUAGGCCUGGCGCUUUUUGAGCGGCCGAUGUCGGAUUAGCUAGUUGGUGGGGUAAAGGCUCACCAAGGCGAAGAUCUGUAGCGGGUCUGAGAGGAUGAUCCGCAAAACUGGGACUGGGACACGGCCCAGCCUCUUAGGGGAGGAAGCAGUGGGGAAUUUUGGAAAAUGGGGGAAACCUUGAUCCAGCCAUGCGGGGGGGAUGAAGAAGGCCUUAGGGUGGUAAAGUACUUUUGUUAGGGAAGAAAAGUCAGCUGUGAAUAAUGGCUGAUACUGACGGUACCUAAAGAAUAAGCACCGGCUAACUACGU